GGUGAAGUUGGGGAAAGGAACCCUGUGAAGGAGAUGUAGAGUAACAAUAGUACAUCCUGUAGCGGCAGCCUCUUAGGAGUGGGAGGAGAUAGACAGGGUAGCUAGAAAGAGCAGUCUUGUGGUCCACCAAGGAGAUCUAAUGUGGGGUAAACUCACUAGUUUAGGGACUUAAAUGGUUAGGGAAUUCUGCAUAUAAAUCCUUGGAUCACCCUUGCGGCAGCCUGAGACACUACUCUGCUAUGGGGACCAUUUAGGAUUACAUUUUAUCAGUGCUUUUUUAGGACACACAGGGUUAUUCUGAGGACCAGCAAGAAGAAUCCACUUCCCAAUUCAGUUGCAGCUGCCAUUGUGGGGUCCACCUCAUUACCGUCUGCCCAGUAUCAGCCUAUCCUGGGCAUUGAGGAGUCGACCCCACAUUACCUUGGUCCUUGCCAACAUGUAAGCAAGAGGAGUAUGUGCAAGUGACCUUCCAAAUUGGGUUCAUGCCAAAUAUGGCAGUAAGCUCUGUCAAUAACUGAAUAACAGAACUCAGAGGAGCACACACAUGUGGCCUUCCAAAGCAUGCUGAAGGACAACCAGCAAGGACGUUUGUAUCCAGCAAUGGAACGCCCCAUUGUAGUUUACCACAGAAAGCUCAGUGUUGCAGAGUAGACAGAUGCAAAAAGUCAAGAGAUCCCAUAGUCCUACCUGCAGCUGCCCAACUCAAGUGGGUCCUUCAGGGGUGCAGUGGAGGGGCCAUGUGUCCAUAGGGUUAUGGCUAAGCCUUAUCUCAUCUGUGUCAUUCUGUUCCCUACCUACACAAUUCAGGGUACUAUAUUCUCAAUUCCAACCUGAAUUAAACAAAUCAAUCGGUUGAAGGAAAUACAUUUCUAAGGUCAGCAUGCAGGCAGAGGUAAAGGUGCACACACAUUACAUCAGCUUGCAUUGACUUCUGCAGGGAGUAUUCUGUAAUAUAUGUUAACUUCACACACAGACAUGUUCUAAUGUAAAUAAAUAGUUAAAAAUUGUGCUGCAAACUAGCAUUAUAUCAGUGUGUAUGGAAACUGUAAAAAGAAAAGCCUGACUGGAGUGUCACAUAAUAAGUCAGCCACUGGCGAAAGGCUGUAAAAGGCUAGGUGCCUUCUGGCCAAAUAUUUAAACCUCCUACAGAAACACAAAAGACACUUUUUUGUCAGUGUCUGUUAACUGCAAAUAUAGUAUCUCACUGCAAAGUGCUUUUCUUUCUCCCCCAAAGAGCAAGUUAACCUUACAACCCACUAUAUUAUUAUCUGUUUUAUGCUUAUACCUUAUUACAACUGGACCUUGUAUAAUGUAAUUAAUCUAUCUUGCUAUGCCUUAUGGUUACAUUAGGAAUCUCCAGUUUUAUUAAGCCUGGCAGUAGUCAAGUACCUGAGGGCAUCUCCUAAAGAAAAAGGUGGGUACUCAUUGACAGAAGAGUGUGCUGAGAUUACAUUUGCACACUUUUCCUUAGAGAAUAUUCUCUUCUUUCAAACAAAAAAUAAGGAUGUAAAAAUGUAUUCGCUUUAUGCUGCUUUAUUUGAAUUGUUCAAUAAUUCACAUUUAUUCAAAAAGUAAUAAAAGUAUUGUUUGUGUAAUAUGAACUAUUCAGGCAUUACAGAAAUCUUUUUCAGUUGCAGCCUUCAUAUUCU